rnacentral:rRNA from 1 species
CAGUAGCCGCGGGAAAACGGAGGGUGCAAGCGUUAUCCGGAUUUAUUGGGUUUAAAGGGUCCGUAGGCGGAUCUGUAAGUCAGUGGUGAAAUCUCACAGCUUAACUGUGAAACUGCCAUUGAUACUGCAGGUCUUGAGUAAAUUUGAAGUGGCUGGAAUAAGUAGUGUAGCGGUGAAAUGCAUAGAUAUUACUUAGAACACCAAUUGCGAAGGCAGGUCACUAAGAUUUAACUGACGUUGAUGGACGAAAGCGUGGGGAGCGAACAGGAUUAGAUACCCCAGUAGUCCCUGUCUCUUAUAC